CUCGUAGGCGGCCAACUAAGUCAGACGUGAAAUCCCUCAGCUUAACUGGGGAACUGCGUCUGAUACUGGAUGGCUUGGAUUCGGGAGAGGAAUGCGGAAUUCCAGGUGUAGCGGUGAAAUGCGUAGAUAUCUGGAGGAACACCGGUGGCGAAGGCGGCAUUCUGGACCGAUAUUGACGCUGAGGAGCGAAAGCCAGGGGAAGCAAACG
rnacentral:rRNA from 1 species